CUGUCUCUCUGCACAAGGAAAGGCCGGGAAGCCUACCAGUGCUCUGAGCUUCAGGGAACACAGCUUCUGGGACACAGAGAAUCUUGGCUCCUUGGCGUCCUCAUAGCUAUUCUCUCAGAGUACGGGCUGUUGAGAACUUGGAGACUCUGAAAGCUUGGGGAGGACACACAACCUGAAGUUCUCUCUUUUGAACACCCUGGACUUCAAGCAACCCAGAUUCCGAGCCAAGAAUCUGAAGCCGGACAGAGUUGACAAGUUAUCUGAAGGACAGAUGGCUGGAAACAUCCCACGGUUGGUGGAAGACAUGAAUCCACAGACAUUCACAGAGCCCUCUGUUCAGCUCAAGUGUCCAGGGAAUAUUUUUCAGGGAGGACGGCAUGCCAAGCCAGGAAGCUGGAAGGAUUCACAGCAUAUAAAAUGGUUGCUUUUGUCAUACUGGGAAGAACUGGAAAGCAGCAUCAAGACAGACAGAAGAAACAGAGAAAGUGCUAGAAUUUUGGCCAAGUGUUCCUGAACAGUGCUCAGAUAUGAAAAUCAAGGUUCCAGAGCAUAGAAGCCAUACCAGGAGGGAGCUGGAGAAUGGAGAACACCCAUGUUAAAGCAGGAAAGGGGCCAGGCUGUGCCUCCUGGAAAAUGCUUUUCUGACCCUGACUGUCAACCCCAACAACUUCCACAUAAGAAAGGGGAGGGGAUGGUAUCAUAGGACAGAAUCAGAUGAAAUGAACCAAGCCAGUCUCAGAAUGACAAAUCUCAUACCAUUUCCUCUCAGUUGUGGAUCUUAGAGGGUAUAUAUUACACAUCUGAGAAACCGUGUGUGUGUGUGUGUGUGUGUGUGUGUGUGUGUGUGUGUGUAAAACAUGAAAGUAGAGCCGAAUUUAUCUAAGGGAGCAUAAUGGACAGAUGGGGCGGUGACCUCAAAGACGUUGGACAGGAGUGCACACUCAGUGUACAGCAUUAAGUUAAAUGUCCUUUUGUAGGGCUACAGUAUUGGCUCAGAGUGAGGUAUCUUGUUGCUCUUAUAGAGAAUAGGGUCCAAUUCCUAGCACUUACAUAGGAGCUUACAAGCACCCUAUUUCCAGCCUCGAGGGAUCCAACAACUCUUCAGACCUUCAGCGGUAUCACGCAUCUCUGUGUCACACGUACAUAUAUGCAGACAAAACACUCAUACACAUAAAAAUAUAAAAUACUUAAUUAGGCUAAAAUAUUUUAAACUUUCUUGUAAAACACAGUGCCGUGAAUGUAGAAUGCAUAUACACAAUGACGUUUCUUAAUCCAAAAUAGAAGAGGAUCGUACACAGUCAUGACCGAAAAUUAGAAAAUUUAGUGAGUGUUCAUUAUUGUAGUCAGUUCAAAAUUGUCCCAACAGUCCCUAAACAUCACAUCUGACCUUCUCACUUGCUCAUCCACAGCAAC